rnacentral:rRNA from 2 species
GUUGUUGGGUAGGGGAGCGUUCUGUAAGCCUGCGAAGGUGGCCUGUGAGGGUUGCUGGAGGUAUCAGAAGUGCGAAUGCUGACAUAAGUAACGAUAAAGCGGGUGAAAAGCCCGCUCGCCGGAAGACCAAGGGUUCCUGUCCAACGUUAAUCGGGGCAGGGUGAGUCGACCCCUAAGGCGAGGCCGAAAGGCGUAGUCGAUGGGAAACGGGUUAAUAUUCCCGUACUUGGUGUUACUGCGAAGGGGGGACGGAGAAGGCUAUGUUGGCCGGGCGACGGUUGUCCCGGUUUAAGCGUGUAGGUGUGUGUUCCAGGUAAAUCCGGUUCACUUUAACACUGAGGCGUGACGACGAGGCACUACGGUGCUGAAGCAACAAAUGCCCUGCUUCCAGGAAAAGCCUCUAAGCAUCAGGUAACAUCAAAUCGUACCCCAAACCGACACAGGUGGUCAGGUAGAGAAUACCAAGGCGCUUGAGAGAACUCGGGUGAAGGAACUAGGCAAAAUGGUGCCGUAACUUCGGGAGAAGGCACGCUGACACGUAGGUGAAGUGAUUUACUCAUGGAGCUGAAGUCAGUCGAAGAUACCAGCUGGCUGCAACUGUUUAUUAAAAACACAGCACUGUGCAAACACGAAAGUGGACGUAUACGGUGUGACGCCUGCCCGGUGCCGGAAGGUUAAUUGAUGGGGUCAGCGCAAGCGAAGCUCCUGAUCGAAGCCCCGGUAAACGGCGGCCGUAACUAUAACGGUCCUAAGGUAGCGAAAUUCCUUGUCGGGUAAGUUCCGACCUGCACGAAUGGCGUAAUGAUGGCCAGGCUGUCUCCACCCGAGACUCAGUGAAAUUGAACUCGCUGUGAAGAUGCAGUGUACCCGCGGCAAGACGGAAAGACCCCGUGAACCUUUACUAUAGCUUGACACUGAACAUUGAGCCUUGAUGUGUAGGAUAGGUGGGAGGCUUUGAAGUGUGGACGCCAGUCUGCAUGGAGCCGACCUUGAAAUACCACCCUUUAAUGUUUGAUGUUCUAACGUGGACCCGUAAUCCGGGUUGCGGACAGUGUCUGGUGGGUAGUUUGACUGGGGCGGUCUCCUCCUAAAGAGUAACGGAGGAGCACGAAGGUUGGCUAAUCCUGGUCGGACAUCAGGAGGUUAGUGCAAUGGCAUAAGCCAGCUUGACUGCGAGCGUGACGGCGCGAGCAGGUGCGAAAGCAGGUCAUAGUGAUCCGGUGGUUCUGAAUGGAAGGGCCAUCGCUCAACGGAUAAAAGGUACUCCGGGGAUAACAGGCUGAUACCGCCCAAGAGUUCAUAUCGACGGCGGUGUUUGGCACCUCGAUGUCGGCUCAUCACAUCCUGGGGCUGAAGUAGGUCCCAAGGGUAUGGCUGUUCGCCAUUUAAAGUGGUACGCGAGCUGGGUUUAGAACGUCGUGAGACAGUUCGGUCCCUAUCUGCCGUGGGCGCUGGAGAACUGAGGGGGGCUGCUCCUAGUACGAGAGGACCGGAGUGGACGCAUCACUGGUGUUCGGGUUGUCAUGCCAAUGGCACUGCCCGGUAGCUAAAUGCGGAAGAGAUAAGUGCUGAAAGCAUCUAAGCACGAAACUUGCCCCGAGAUGAGUUCUCCCUGAGACUUAGAGUCUCCUGAAGGAACGUUGAAGACGACGACGUUGAUAGGCCGGGUGUGUAAGCGCAGCGAUGCGUUGAGCUAACCGGUACUAAUGAACCGUGAGGCUUAACCUUACAACGCCGAAG